rnacentral:lncRNA from 10 species
UGGUAACCUCACAAGAGCUGCUGUGAAGAUCGGUUGAGAUAAUGCAUGUGAAAAUACUUUAGAAAGAGCAAUAGUGUUAUUAUUAUUGAGAUAGUGUCUCGCUUUGCCACCCAGGCUGAAGUGCAGUGGCAUGAUCACAGCUCACGGCAGCCUCAACCUCACAGGCUCAAGCGAGCCUCCUGCUCAUCCUCUCAAGUAGCUGGGACCAAAGGUAUGCGCCACCAUGUCUGGCUAAUUCUUUUUUGUAGAGGUGGGGUCUCCUUAUGCUGCCCAGGCUCAUUUUAUUAAGAGGCAUAAAAUGAUGACCAAUAUUGCAAGGCUCUCUAGGUUUUCUGUUCUUCAUUAAUUCUAGUGUGUUCUUCAUUAAUUCUAGAGUGUGAUAGUUAUUUUUAUGCCAACUUGCUUGGCUGGGCCACAGGGUAUUAUGGAAAUCCACAGGCUGAGGGGUUUUCAGCAGGAUGACAAAGUAAGCAACUUGAUUCUAGCAAAAGUUUGGAUGUAAAGAACAUCUUAGCAAAUGAGAGUGAGAAUUUCUUUUUUAAAAAUUUUUUAGAGUUGCUGUCCCUUUGUCACCCAGGAUGGAGCACAGUGAUGCAAUCACAGCUCACUGCAGUCUUGAAUUCCUGGACUCUGGCAAUCCUCCUGCCUCAGCCUCCUAAGUAGCUCAGACUACAGGCAUGUGCCACCACAACCUGCUAAUUUUCAAAUUUUUUUGUACAAACGGGGCCUUGUCAUCUUACCCAAGCUGGUCUCGAACUCCUGGACUCAAGCCAUCUGCCUGCCUUGGCCUCCCAAAGUGCUAGGAUUACAGGCAUAAGCCACCAUGCCUGGUCUGAGAUUUUCUUUUUUUUUUUUUUUUUUUUUUUUUUUUCAAAACAAAGCAACAGAAAGUACAGUGGUCCCAAGGAACUAUAAAUGUAGAUGGAAGAAAAUACGGUGUGUGUAGAGAGUGAAGGGGACUUUGUUUGGCCUUUGCUUUUGUUGUUGUUAUUGUUGUUGUUGUUUUUGAGACGGAGUCUCGCUCUGCCGCCAGGCUGGAAUGCAGCGGUGCAAUCUCAGCUCACUGCAACCUCCGCCUCCUGGAUUUAAGUGAUUCUCCUGCCUCAGCCUCCCGAGUAGCUGGGACUACAGGCGCACGCCACCACACCCAGGUAAUUUUUGUAUUAUUAGUAGAGACGGGGUUUAACCACGUUGGCCAGAAUGGUCUUGAACUCCUGACCUCAGGUGAUCCGCCCGCCUCGGCCUCCAAAAGUGCCGGGAUUACAGGCGUGAGCCACCGCACCUGGCCUGCCUUUGAUUUUCUAAUAAUUAUUAAUUUUUUUUGAGAUGGAGUCUUGCUCCGUCACCAGGCUGCAGUGCAGUGGCACAAUCUUGGCUCACUGCAAUCUGGGCCUCGCAGGUUCAAGCAAUUCCCCUGCUUCAGCCUCCCAAGUAGCUGGAACUUCAGGCACAUACUACCACACCCGGCUAAUUUUUUGUAUUUUAAUAGAGAUGGUGUUUCACCAUGUUGACCAGGAUGGUCUCAAUCUCCUGACCUUGUGAUCCGUCCGCCUUGGCUCCCAAAGUGCUGGGAUUACAGGCAUGAGCCACCACGUCCAGCCUAUUUUUUUUUUUUUAAAGAGAUGGAGUCUUGCUCCGUUGCCCAGGUUGGAGUACAAUGGCGUGAUCUUGGCUCACUGCAACCUCCGCCUCCCGGGUUCAAGCAAUUCUCCUGCCUCAGUCUCCUGAGUAGCUGGGACUAGAGGCACACACCACCACGCCCGGCUAAUUUUUUUGUUUUUGUCUUUGUUUUUGGAUUUUAGUAGAGACGGGGUUUCACCAUGUUUCCCAGGCUGGUCUCGAACUCCCGAGUUCAGGCAAUCUGCCCACCUCGGCCUCCCAAAGUGCUAGGAUUACAGGCGCGAGCCACCGCCCCCGGCCCUGGCCUUUGCUUUUAAUGUCAACACAUCCUCACCAUGAUGACCACCUAAGCUGCAAGUGACACGUCAAGCCAAAGACAGGCCAAAGAGGCCUCUGCCUCCUGCAAUGCCUCCCUUUUACCAUCUCAGAUGGCUUUUUAGGAUUCAUCCUUAAUUCACAUUCUUCCUGCCACAAGUGAAUGGAGUUAAAAAGGGAAACUUAUCCUGCAUUUUCUACUGGUGUGCAGAGCCUAACAAUCAAGGGCAGGAACCUACAGAACGAUAAGUAAUGAAACAAGAAUUGUUUGUUAUCAGGCCAAUUAAAUUCGAUUUUAACUCAUUAAAACAGGCCAAGUAGAAACCAGCUGUAAAGUGAGACUGUAUUUUCCUGCAACAAAGUGUGACAGCAAGUUAUUUAAAUAUAAUUAUGACACUUGUAAAAUGCUGCAAUUGAAUUAGUUUCAAAACACAUUUCUUCUUCAUCUUGAUCACUUAAUAGUAAAUCCACUUAUAAUCAUGACUUUAGAAUAACUCUGUGAGAAAGUAUCAUCACCUCCAUUUUACCAGUGAAGAAACUGAGGCUCCAGAAGAUGGGAAUCAAAUAUCCAAGUGGGCAGAGCUAGAACCUGACUCCAAGUUUUGAGUGUUUUUUCCUUUCUCGAGGCCAUUUCCCAGAGCGUGCAAGGUCUUCCCUGUUAGGCCUCUCACUUUCUUGAGGUGUCCUGAUUGUUUUACCUUCCUUUGCCUUCCUAGAAGAAUACUGUUUCUUCCUGUCAUCUUAGCACAUCGUUCUAUGUACAGUGUUGGAUAGGCACUACUGUAGCUAUAGCUUCUUAGUCAUUUCAGUUUGAAGAACAACUAUGCCUGCCAAGUUCUAAGUCACUCAUGUGGUUUUUUUAAAAUAGUCACCAGCACAAGGGAGGAACUGACUCCAGUGAUACUGAUUUUUUCCUCCAAAUUUUAGGGCAACUUUAUUUCAUUAAUUUUUCAUUAAAGUGUAAACAGUCUGUGGCCAAAAGGCAAGAAUCUUUUUGAAAUGAACAUUUUGAGAUACUAAAGUAGUAAUAAACCACGUUGCCCAAAUUUUUUCAUACAUGUUAUCAAGAGAGAAAGUAAUAAAACCUCAAAAUGACAGUUCCAGAUCAAAGCAAAUACCUACAAAUACAGAGCUAUAUGUGAAUUAUAUUUUAUCAUACAAUAUCUAGAAUUAAACUCCUAGAAAAUUAUAUUUAGAAUGGCUACACCUUUCUGAACUCCAGUUCCUCCAAAUCAGUUUUUUUUUUUUUUUUUUUUUUGAGACGGAGUUUUGCUCUUGUUGCCCAGGCUGGAGUGCAAUGGCAUGAUCUUGGCUCACUGCAACCUCUGCCUCCCAGGUUCAAGUGAUUAUCCUGUCUCAGCCUCCUGAGUAGCUAGUAGCUGAGUAGCUAGUAGCAGGCGCAUGACACCACGCCUGGCUAAUUUUUUUUUUUUUGUAUUUUUAGUAGAGACGGGGUUUCAUUAUAUUGGUCAGGCUGGUCUCCAACUCCUGACCUCAGGUGAUCCGCCUGCUUUGGCCUCCAAAGUGCUGGGAUUACAGGUGUGAGCCACUGCACCCAGCCCCAACUCGGCUUAAAACCAGUGGAGGCUGGCUAUCCUAGGGGGAAGAGCAUGGGUUCUGAAAUCCGACACACCUGGGUUCCUAUUCUUGUUCUACUAUUUUAUACUUUUGACCCCUGGGCAAGUUACUACAUUUCUUUUUUUUUUUUUUUUUUUUUUUUUGAGACAGAGUUUCGCUCUUGUUGCCCAGGCUAGAGUGCAAUGGCACGAUCUCAGCUCACCGCAACCUCUGCUUCCCGGGUUCAAGCGAUUCUCCUGCCUCAGCCUCCCGAGUGGCUGGGAUUACAGGUAUGGGCCACCACAUCCUGCUGAUUUUGUAUUUUUAGUAGAGACGGAGUUUUUCCACGUUGGUCAGGCUCGAACUCCUGACCUCAGGUGAUCCACCUGCCUUGGCCUCCCAAAGUGCUGGGAUUACAGGCGUGAGCCACUAUGCCGGGCCCUACAUUUCUUGAAGUCUCAGUUUUCUCACAUAAAAUAAGAAUACCAUCCCUUAUCUUUUACAGUUAUUGUGAGGUAUAAAGUAAAUGAAUGAAUAUUUCAGGCAAGCUCAGUUUCUGGGAUAUAAAUGAUGUUCAAUAAAUACCAAUAAGUACUCAAUAGAUGUUUGUUAUGAACAGUUUUAAAAGCCCUAUAAGGAAUAUGCGUGCUGUACCUCCCAUGACCAGCGAGAGGGAAAUGAAGAUCAGUGAUAUGACAUUAAGUAGUGAAGAUUUAUUUAUACUUCUAGAAUUUCUGCAUUUUAGCGUUUGUUUCUCCCUGAAUUACAUAGAAUAUGGCCACAACUGGAAGAUGACUUUAAGGUGAAAUAUUAAGAUACAAGGAUCAUUGGUAAUUAAAUAAAAUGAUUUUCUUUUUAAUCUAUAUACAAAAUGGUACCCAAAUUGCUACAAAGAGAAAACAUUUUCUACACAGCUUGCAUUUCUGCAGCAUAGCUUUAAAUGAAACCACUCUGUAAUCUCACAGAUUAUGUCUAAAAAUAGAAUGAUAGGCCAGCUGUCAGACAUAUACAUUGUAGGGAGAAUGGGGCCAAGAAUCUUUCCCCAAACACCACUGGAACUCUUCUGGCAUUUGCUCCCACAAAGACAAAAAACUAAAAUCUAUUCAAUUCCAGCAGCUACCUGCAUUUUUUUUUUAACUUUUAAGUUCAGGGGUACCUGUGCAGAAUGUGCUGGUUUGUUACACAGGUAAACAUGUCUCAUGGAAGUUUGUUGUACAGAUCAUUUCAUCACCCAGGUAUUAAGCCUAGUAUCCAUUAGUUAUUUUUCCUGAUCCUCUCCCUCCUCCCACCCUCUGCCCUCUGGUAAGCCCCAGUAUGUGUUGUUCCCCUCUAUGUGGCCGUGUGUUCUCAUCAUUUAGCUCCUACUUAUAAGUGAGAACAUGCGGUAUUUGGCUUUCUGUUCCUGCACUAGUUUACUAAGGAUAAUGGCCUCCAGCUCCAUGUAUGUCCCUGCAAAAGACAUGAUCUUGUAUUUUUUUCUUAUGGCUGCAUAGUAUUCCAUGAUGUAUAUGUACAUUUUCUUUACCUAGCCUAUCAUUGGUGGGCAUUUAGAUUGAUUCUGUGUCUUUGCUAUUGUGAAUAGCGCUGUAAUGAAUGUACAUGUGCAUGUGUCUUUAUAAAUAGAAUGAUUUAUAUUCCUUUGGAAAUAUGCCCAGUAAUGGGAUUUCUGGGUCGAAUGGUGUUACUGUAUCUAGGUCUUUGAGGAAUUGCCACACUCUUCCACAAUAGUUGAACUAACAUACACUCCCACCAACAGUGUAAAAGCUUUCCUUUUUCUCGACAAUCUUGCCAGCGUCUGUUAUUUUUUGACUUUUUAAUAACAGCCAUUCUGACUGGUGUGAGAUUGUAUCUCAUUGUGGUUUUGACUAACAUUUCUCUAAGGAUCAGUAAUGUUGAGCUGUUUUUCAUAUGCUUCUUGGCCACAUGUAUGUCUUUUCAGAAGGAUCUGUUCCUGUCCUUUGUCCACUUUUUAACGGGGUUGUUUUGUUUCUUGUAAAUUUGUUUAAGUUCUUACAGAUGCUGGAUAUUAGACCUUUGUCAGAUUACUGCUUUCUUUUAGAUUUAGGAGAAAGGAUUGGAAUGCCAAGAUUUGUAAGGUUCUUGUGAAAUCUCCCCAAAUCUGCAAUGUGCUGUUCCUAAAAGGCUUAUAACAAAAGUAUCAUGCAUGAUCUGAAAUUAUUGGUUCAAUACAACCCCAUUUAUAAAAAUGUUUUGCUUUUUUGUGAACUCUCCCUUCCAAGUUAUUUAACCUUUUAAAAUAAAAAGAUGCAAUGUGAUGGGGACUGUGUUCUAGUCCAGACCCUGCCAUUAAUAUGCUACAUAAACUUAGGUAAACUAUAACCCCUCUAUGGACCUCAGUUUUCCCAUCUGGAUAAUGAGAAAGUUGUGGGAGACAGCCAUGUAAGGAUGUGUUUCAGCUACAAUGCUCUAGAUUAUCUGAGCCUCAAAAUUUCCACACAAGCUGAAAAGAAAAGAAACAACCUUUUACUUCUAAGCUAUGUUUUGAGGUGCUUCAGUGCCAAUUUCUUAGGUAAUCUUUCCACCGAAUCAAGGAUGCAGUGCCCCUAAAAAGAUGAAUGGAAGACACUUCAGGCCGGGCGCAGUGGCUCACACUUGUAAUCCCAGCUCUUUGGGAGGCCAAGGCGAGCGGAUCACCAGGUCAGGAGAUCGAGACCAUCCUGGCUAACACGGUGAAACCCCG